ACUAAAAUGGAGUCAGGAGACCAGAGGAAGAAGCUCUCAUGCUAGUACAGAUCCCAGUGGGAAGAGACACAUUUCACAUCUCUGGCAGUAAAUAAUUCUACUUUACUACCACCAGAAGGAGGGGGAAAAGUUUUUCUCCUGCCUGGCAACAGCUCAGCCAAUGAGAGACAAUUCAGCCAACGAAAAUCCACCAUACUUUGCAUUUUCACUUUCAUCUAAUGGGCUUUACGUUUAUAACAGCCUCGACCAACUUCCCCUUCUCUGUAAGAGUUUCCCUUCCUUUGCUUCACCAGAGUUGCAAGUGGUUCGCCAUGGUUGUAUCUCCCCAAGUACAAUUUUUGGCUGCUCCUGGAAAAACCCAUUUUGUUGGUAAGAAAUAACUGGCUGUUUCGUCAUUUUAAGUUAACCUGACAUGGAAGUCCCAUGGAGAUCCAGGGAAGAAUGGUGGCAAGUCCCAGGCUGGCGAGCAAGCAGGUGUUGCUACUGAGGAGCCCACCCAGCUCACUGCUUUCUUGCUGACCCUGAAAUCUGAGGGAAAUGAAGACCUUAAGCAUGACACUUUGCAAUCUAGAGAUUCCAUCUAUUGGAAAAGACACCUCGAUGGAAAGGUCCCCAUCAGGGUGCUGCUCUCUGAAGGCUGGAUGACUGAAUAGAUUUUGGAGCAGGAAGAAAGCACAGGCCAAACUGGUUUUAACCUCGCAAACCCUCUUGGUGUCUUUCUGAGUGCCGUCUUUGAAAAAAGAUAUGAAAGCUUCUGAAACUACAGCUGUAAAGCCUCUGAUGUUCUCGAGAAGGAACAAAACCGCUGGUGAAUCUCGUGGAAUUCGCCCAGAUUCUGGCACUUACGGCAGAACCAGAUAGAUUUUGGCGUGACCAAGCAGCGCGAAGCCGCAGCAUAGAGAAACGAGCUGAAAAUGCACAGCGGCAGCAGCAAAAAACCCCAGCAGUCCGCAAGGGAGUUUCAGAAAGUCUUCCCAGCCAAGUGAUGCCUUGGACUGCCAACUUCAGGUUUAGGUGCAAUUAGUGCGUCCCCACCUGUCCCGCCCCCGCGCUUCUUGCCUGGUUUCGGGACUUGGGAAGGGAGAGAGCCAACUUGAGGGAGAAGGAAAAGAAAGGGGAAAAAAGGGAUUGGUGGAGAAGAGAUUCAUUCUUGAUUCAUUACUUUUCUUCUCCCCAAAUUAAAAGCAGAGGGACGAAAACAGCAGCCAAGGCAUCCUAGAAACAAAAGGCAAAUAGCGAGGAUGUGAGUCACCCGGAAAGCGGACCCGCCCCCCUCACCAGAUGUGGCAGCGGUGUCAGUGCAAGUCCUUUAGGCUGGGAGAGCUCCCGGGGUGGGGGUGGGAGGAAGGCCGCCAGAAAAGAACCGAAGUUUGGUACUGAAGUCUGACGCCCCAGGGGGCACCGGUUAGGCAGGGAGCAGUUGGGGUAGGAGACACGGACUCCUGGAGUACAAGGAGGAUACCUUGGAGAGGUUUGCGGUCCUGAAAGCUCUGCCGUUUUCUCCAGGACUCAGUAUCUCCUUUGUCCCAAUCCAAUUGGAGAAAACAGUUGGGAAAACUAAGAUCUGGUAAUAUAAAAAGAAUAGAAUAAGGAAAUGCCCAAGUUUGUGCCUAUGACUUGGGCCUUUAGUGUGAAGAAAGAUCCCAACUUUUCAGUGGAUUAUUGAUGACUUUGGUGGAAGAGAAAGUCUGUAGAGCCAACAGCAAAAAUGGCCCAGACAAGACCUGUUUUGUUCAUCUGCAUCUUCAGCACGUUUAUCUAAAUCUCCUGUUCGUAUUUUUAAGUGUGUUUUGUAUCAUGAAUGUGAAACACUUCAAAAAAAGAAUCUCAAAAGCUGUAGUCAUGUUCUGUAUCCCAAUGAUGGUGGUGGUUGUAGUUUCAUAAAUCUGUACGCAUGUUAAAAUUCAUAGAACUUUGUACACCAAAAAGAGUCAGUUUUACUGUAUGAUAAAUUUUGAAACAAAAUUAAUUACUCAUGAGGGGAAAAAAACUGUAAUAAUUCUGCAGCAUGAUAUUCAUUUUGGUUCUGCUCUGUUAAGGAAAGUGAGAAUCACUUUAGAAUUUAGAAAGAUAUUCUCAUCUGAUCAGCCAAUCAGCUUGGUAAUAUGGAUAUAUCAUUAGUAUUAAUGUCUUGUUAUUGGUAUUGUUAUUCUGUUUUACAGUUGAAAACACUGGGGCUCUGAGCUAAGAAUAACUAGCUUUGACAGUGUCUUUUACUUUCCAAGCCCUGUGCUGAUGACUUUAUAGAAAUUAUGUCAUUUGCUCUUCCCAUCAGUACUAAGGUAGAUCCUCUCCUUAGUUUUACACAGGAGAAAAUAGAGGCAAAAUAAAUUAUGUAACUUGUUCAGAUGUGUGGUAGAGGUGAGGACCAGGCCCAGAUUUGUCUGCUCCUUAUAUAAUAUCUCACAUUCCACCUCUAGGUGAGAUUGAGGAGUUUGUGCAGAGUCCUACUCUGAUUCACUUUGGCAGAACCAAAGCCUCACCCCUGGCUCUGCUUAAUUUCUUCUACCUGCCUACAGCUAGAAGCUGGUUAUGGCUGCUGAAGCAGGACUCAGGAAUUUGGGGGCAUUUUUAGCUCCAUCACUUACUUAUUGUGCAGCUUCUAUAUACCCCUGAUUCUUAAUCUGUAAAAUAGGACCACUAAUAAAAUGUUAUUUCUGUGAGAUUUGAGAUAACUUAUACAACACCCUUAGCAAAAUUGCUCAUUAUUAUUGUGCUCUUGUUAAUUACUCUCCCUCUUGCCAUUUACUGUGCAUGCACCAGAUCUCUAUAACUAUGUUAAGGACAGAAAUACAAGGUUGAAUAGUCUUAAGGUUUCUUUCCAGUAGAAUUGCCAGAUUUAGCAAAUAAAAACACAGGACACUCAGUUAAAUUUGAAUUUCAAAUACACAAUGAAUGAUCUUUUAGUAUAAAUAUGUCCUAUGCAAUAUUUUGAAUGUACUUAUCUUUAAAAAAAAUCAUCCUUUACCCAAAAUUCAUAUUACCUGGCAUCCUGUAUUUGAUCUUCAUGACAAAGGAGUUCAUAACCUGGUGGAAGAAACACACAGAAACAAAAGCUUUCAGUGCAGAAUACUGAAUGCAGUUUAGUGCAUAUAUCUUUCCAAUCUCCUCUCUCUUUAUAUACAUUUUGCUUCCAUUUCUGCCAUUUUUAUAAAAAUCAUGUUAUAGUAUAUUUAUUAUUAUUAUUUUAAUUUUAAAACAACUAGGUAUCAUUCUGUGCCCAUAUGUAUGGGUAGGCUUCUUCUUUAAAGACUGCAAAAUAUUCUAUUCUGUGGAUUGCGUUAUAUUUUUUAACUGCCCUAUUAAAAGACAUUAAGAUGAGUAACUCCUUUUUAAAGACGUUUCCUUCAGUGAGAAAAGCUUACGAGGAUCAGUUCUAUUUUGAUUGUCUUAAGCAUUUAAUUAUCCUAAAUUAUCAUACUUGCUUUACUCCUAACAGCUUGAAAAAUUUUUUGUGCAUGAUGCUAUUAACAUGCUCUAAAGCAGGACACAUUAUUUCAGAGUACAUUUUUCCCCACUUAUUCUUCAAUUCCAAAAUAAAAUAGAAGAAUCUGAAUAUCCUAAUGGAAAAGAACCAACCUAGUGUAUUUCAAUUGCUCACUUUGUAGCCUCCAGGGAAAUGUCUUUGCACUAUUAUUAAUUUAGCACAUUGUUUCUUCAGGAACCACUUUUAUUCUAACAACCCAAAGGAAAGUCAGUAAAUUAUUGAAAUAUUGCUGCUGCUAAAUCCUAGGAAGACAAGGAAUACAGUAGCAUAAAUUAAAAAAAAAAAAAAAAAAAAAAGAGUUGUUAUGGCCAUCCUCAUGUUAA